GCUGCACCGGGCGCUGGAGCUGUGGCGCGGCCCGCUGCUGUCGGGCAUCCCGCACGGUCCGCUGCUGCAGAGCGCGGCGGUGCGGCU
rnacentral:tRNA from 1 species